rnacentral:rRNA from 1 species
CUGGUUGAUCCUGCCAGUAGAAUAUGUUUGUAAGUAUGCAUGGCCGCUACAGUGAAACUGCAAAUGGCUCAUUAAAAUCAGUUAUGGUUCCUUUGAUCGCUCCAACUGUUACUUGGAUAACUAUGGUAAUUCUAGAGUGAAUAUAUGCCGAUGAGCACUGACGCCUAGGGAUGCGUGCAAUUAUCAGACCAAAACCCAUCCGGAUCGGGGGGGCUCUAUCUACUAUCUACGCCUACCAUGGUGACCAUGGGUAAUGGGGAAUCAGGGUUCUAUUCCGGAGAGGGACGUUGAGAAAUGGCUGCCACAUCCAAGGAAGGGAGCAGGCGCGCAAAUUACCCACUCCCGACGCGGGGAGGUAGUGACGUAAAAUAAAAAUACAGGACUCUUUCGAGGCCCUGUAAUUGAAAUAAAUACACUUUAAAUCCUUUAACAAGGAUCUAUUGGAGGGCAAGCACUUCAGACUAGGUUUUUGCCUUCUUUUGGAUCAACAGCAAAAACAUGUGAGGAAGGCUGAACUUGAUGGACGCAAGUCUCUUUUCAGCUAUGUAACGAUGUAAGUCUGGUGCCAGCAGCCACGGUAAUUCCAGCUCCAACCUCU